rnacentral:rRNA from 1 species
UGGGGAAUAUUGCACAAUGGGCGCAAGCCUGAUGCAGCGACGCCGCGUGAGGGAUGGAGGCCUUCGGGUUGUAAACCUCUUUCGCCAGUGAAGCAGGCCAUCUUCUUUGUGGGGUGGUUGACGGUAGCUGGAUAAGAAGCGCCGGCUAACUACGUGCCAGCAGCCGCGGUAAUACGUAGGGCGCGAGCGUUGUCCGGAAUUAUUGGGCGUAAAGAGCUCGUAGGCGGCUGGUCGCGUCUGUCGUGAAAUCCCCUGGCUUAACUGGGGGCUUGCGGUGGGUACGGGCCGGCUGGAGUGCGGUAGGGGAGACUGGAAUUCCUGGUGUAGCGGUGGAAUGCGCAGAUAUCAGGAGGAACACCGGUGGCGAAGGCGGGUCUCUGGGCCGUUACUGACGCUGAGGAGCGAAAGCGUGGGGAGGGAACAGG